AACGUCUCCGAGACUGAGACAUUUUCCAAACAGUGCUGACAUUUUGUCGGGCCCCAUAAAAAAUGUAAACGCGAGGUGACGAACCCGGCGGGGAGGGUUCGUGUCUGGCUGUGUCUGCGUCCUGGCGGCGUGGGAGGUUAUAGUUCCAGACCUGGCGGCUGCGGAUCGCCGGGCCGGUACCCGCGAGGAGUGUAGGUACCCUCAGCCCGACCACCUCCCGCAAUCAUGGGGACACCGGCUUGGAUGAGACACAGGCGUGGAAAACAGCCUUCGUGAAACUCCACAAACACGUGGAACUUGAAAAGACAACUACAGCCCCGCGUGUGCGCGAGAGACCUCACGUCACCCCAUCAGUUCCCACUUCGCCAAAGUUUCCCUUCAGUGGGGACUCCAGAGUGGUGCGCCCCAUGCCCGUGCGUCCUGUAACGUGCCCUGAUUGUGUACCCCUCUGCCCGCUCUACUUGAAAUGAAAACACAAAAACUGUUCCGAAUUAGCGCAACUUUAAAGCCCCGUUAUCUGUCUUCUACACUGGGCGCUCUUAGGCCACUGACAGAAACAUGGUUUGAACCCUAAUUGUUGCUAUCAGUCUCAGUCAGCGCAGGUCUCUCAGUGACCUGUGACGCCGGGAGUUGAGGUGCGCGUAUCCUUAAACCCGCGCGAACGCCACCGGCUCAGCGUAGAAAACUAUUUGUAAUCCCUAGUUUGCGUCUCUGAGCUUUAACUCCCCCACACUCUCAAGCGCCCGGUUUCUCCUCGUCUCUCGCCUGCGAGCAAAGUUCCUAUGGCAUCCACUUACCAGGGCAGGAAACCCUACUUCCACCAGACAUGUAUUUGUUUAUUCACUCAGGCAGGUGGUAUGUUGGAAGAAGAGUGGACUUUGGAAUCAGAAAACCUGGAAUCCCAACUUCACCGCUAACCGAGAGACCUUGAGCUGGUUCCUAAACCACGGGGAACUUCAGUUCCACUACAUGAGUUAUUGCAAAGGUUGAAUCGGAAUUGUGACACUGGCCAGCACACGUGUGAAACCAGGGGCAUCCCCUAUUGAUAAGGAGCCCAGCCCAAGAGCUUCAAGGGAAAUUGACCCCAGCCCCAGCUCCACUGAUGGGCUCGAUGAUUCAGAGAGGAAUCUCACUCCCUUGGUCAAAGUGAAUGGCUCAUAAAUCUGGGCCUAAGUCAAUCCGUGCAAGACAUUCCCCUGGCCAUAGGGAUUGGUUAAAAAAUGGACAUGUAACCCAGUUUGGGCUAAAUGAGAUGUGAACAGGAAAGUUAUUUGAUAGCUUCUGAGGAAGGUAGCUUCUCUUCUUUCUAGAGAGCCACUGGAAAGGUAGCCUUUUCUCCUCUGUGUUGUGGAGAGAAAAAAAAAGUGAAACUGUCUCCCUCUCAGCCCACACAGAAGGCUCACACUUGGUGAAGGGAAGGGUGGAGAAGAUUACAGAGAAUAGCCCUGAUGGAACCACACCUGAUUUCUACCUGACCUCUUAAUUUUUUCAUUUGUACAAGUCAGUAAAUGCCUUUUAAUUUUUAAACAAAUAAUUACAGCAACUUAUAGAGGUACCUAAGGUAUUAAGUUACCAUCAUGAAUACAAAGAUAAGCAAGACAAACUUCAAGGGGCUCACCACCUAAUAAAUAUUAUACUU
rnacentral:lncRNA from 1 species